rnacentral:rRNA from 1 species
AUGGCUGCUAACCAUUUGCAUCCGCUCUUGUGCUUAGCGCUAGCCAUGCUUGUUUCCCUCGACUUUUCAUGCGCGCAAACGGGCAUCACAUCUGGGUCCUCCCUGAAGGCCGCCGCAGGCGCCGGCUGGUCAUCCCCGUCAGGCCGCUUCUCCUUCAGCUUCUACGCCACGGAAGGCGGCCUCGCGGUUGGCGUCUGGCUCGCCACCACGCCCAACGUAACCAUCACGUGGACCGCGAACUGCAACGACAUGGCAACGGGCGGCACGCUAAGGCUCGCCGACAACGGUCGUCUCCUCUGGACCGGCGCGAGUGAUCACGACAGGGCCGUCGCGCAGCCAUCAAGGCUGGCUGUGGCGGGCUCCAUGCGGGAUGACGACAACUUUGUGCUGUUUGGCGCUGACGGCGCGGUGGUGUGGCCUGAACACCCUGAUCGCCGGGCAGGACCUCGUGCCCGAGGUGCAGCUCUUCUCCAGCGUGUCCGACACCAACAAGGCCCAACAAAGGCCGUCAAGUACCGACUCGCCAACCAGCAACAGGACGGCAACCUGGUGUUGUACCCGGUGGGCACGCCGAACGACGCAGCCUCGUCAUACUGGAACACGGGGACCUUUACCAAGAACCUGACAGUGACACAGCCCGGAGCCUUAAAAGCUGGAGAGGAAGCCUACUACCGACUCACGCUUGAUCCUGAUGGAGUUCUGCGUUUGUACCGUCAUACCUUCGUGUCUGGUUCUAGGUCUGGCGGUGCGUCCAAUACCACCACCGUCGUCUGGAGCGCUCUGACCAAUCGAUGCCAUGUCCAUGGUGUUUGCGGGCACAACAGCUACUGUGUCCUCGACCAGGAUCGGCCUAGCUGUUUGUGCCCGCCGGGGUUCGAUUUUCUCGACGUGAGCAAUGCGGAGCUCGGUUGCACGGUGAACUCCAGCGCCGGCGACUGUAAAUGGGGGCAGCAACAAGAUGCCGCAGACUUCUCCGUGAAGUUGACACCAAACAUGGAGUAG